UGACCCUCUCUGAACCUCUGCUUGAACAGUACACCUGGGGAUGAGAGAGAGAGAGAGGGUGACAGGUGGCUGGUCAGAGCGGUGUCGCGCGCCACAGAUGCUCCCGACCAGCUUUCAAACGCGCGCGAGCGUGCUCGAGCCUUUUACGUGCACGCGAGAUUAGGCUGCUCGCAGGACGAAGCCGGUGAGAAUGUGUGAGCGCUCGUCUUCGGCCGCCGGAGCCCCGGGAAGAUGUCGGUGAUGACUCCGUACCGGGAAACCCGUAGCUAACGGCUGCUACUCCUGCGACCAUUGGAUGUUGUUUUUAAAACUUUUCCUUAGGACGGUUGUUUUUGCGGUGUGGGGAUAAAAAAAACACCACCCGGAGGGACAGGUGUCACCCCCCUUCUCACUCCAGUUUUGUGUUUCCUUUCCCCCUCAUACUUUUUUUUUUUUUUUUGGAAACCGAGUAGGACCUUGGGGAGCCAUGCUGUGGACACGCUGGCUCGUGCUGCUGCUCUGCUGGGGGGCCACAGGCAGCGAAGAGCAGGCGGAUGAGAGGGGCGCGGUACCGGCUGAGGUCCGGUCGGACUCCCGCAGAGAGCGCUCACCUCCGCCGGUGGAGCCGCUGGAUUUUGGGUUUGUACCCGCGGCGGUUUACGACACCCACGCUUAUUACGAGCCAGGGAGCAUGGGGAUCCUCUUCCAUAUGGUCCACGCGUUUCUCUACAUCAUUCAGCCGAACCCCUUUCCCAAAGAUCUCAUUGUCAAAGUCAUUCAGCAAAACAUGGGUGGAAUCAAAAUAGAGGAAUGGAGAAAGCCAGAAAACGUCGUCUUGUUGCUGCAGUGGAUCCAGUACGAGUCCGGAUUUCUCAUAUGUGCAACCUUCGGCGUCGUGUUUGUGGUCCUUAUCCCCGUCAUAGCUAUGUGCUUCUGCAUGUGUCGAUGCUGUGAUAACUGUGGAGGGGAGAUGCAUCAGAGACAGAGGAAAAAUGCAGACUGUCACAGAGGUUUCUAUACCGCCUCGCUGGUUGCUACAACCAUCUUCAUCAUUGUGGGUGUUCUCAUUGCUCUCGCCGCAAACCACAACAUCAGCUCACAGGUCAAAAGCACUCGGCGGCUCAUUAACACCAACAUGAGAGACCUGAAGACGUUCGCUAACAACACGCCUGCACAAGUCGAUUACCUGACAGCCCAGUACACCACAGCCAAGAACAAAGUCCUGUCAGACCUCGACAACAUUGGCCCUUUGCUGGGGGGUAGGAUCCACAUUCAGCUGGAGAAAUCAGUGAUUCCUUCGCUGGACACCGCCCUGCGUAUGGCAGGAGCAAAAGUUGAGAGUGCCAUCAAAGCCAUGCGGGAGACCAAAGAGGCCCUGGAGAACGUCAGCUCGUCCUUGGAGGUGCUGCAGGACGGGGUGGGGAAGCUUCAGGCCAGCCUGUCAGGAGAGCGCGCCUCUCUGUCCAACACCCUGUCCGACCCCGCCUGCACGAACGGAGCUGUGUCACAUACCUGUAACACCAUCCGCUCCACACUGUCCCAGCUGGGAAUCAAUGCUGACUUCUCCAAGAUCCCAGAUGUUAAUCAUGCCUUGGCCAAUGUCAAUACUGUCCUGAAAACAGAUCUCAGCAACAUUGUACAAAAGGGUUACGCAUCCUUUAACGACACGCCAAGACUGGUUAAAGAGCAAACAAAAAACAUUGUUGCAGCUCUGCCUCGAGUAAAGGGGAUGCUGGAUAAGAUCGGUGCAGAGAUCAUCGGCUUCUCCAAGAUGUUCCCCGUGGAAGCUUCUCUGGCAAAUUUCACCAUUUUCCUAAAUGAAAGACACAAAGCUAUUGAGUCCUAUUACCCCCAAAUCGAUCAGAUGGAUUUUUACAGGUGGAUCGCCUGCGUGGCGGUGCUCUGCAUGGUCGUCUUGGUGAUGGCCUUUAACAUCCUCGGCCUGCUGUGUGGUAACUGUGGCUACGACAAGCAAGCUAGCCCGACCACCCGCGGCUGCCUGUCGAACACUGGGGGAAACCUGCUGAUGGCUGGUGUUGGCUUCUCGUUUAUCUUUGCCUGGGUGCUGAUGGUCAUCGUUACCACCCUGUUUGUUGUCGGGGGCAAUGUGGAAAAGCUGAUAUGUGAACCUCUGGCUAACAGACAACUGUUUAAGAUCAUUGAUACGCCGUUCCUGGUCCAUCCUGAAAAGAGGAACUUCCUUCCUGGGAUGCUUUUCCAGAAUCCAAAUAUUGAUUUAACUCUAGGCGGCAUGUACAGGGAGUGCUAUGACAACAACGGUCUGUAUCACGCUCUGCAGCUGGAGACCAUGUUCAACAUUAACUCCUUCCUCAACAGAACAGUGUACAACAGGGACCUGGCCAAAGUGUUUGAUAGUGUGCAGGUGGACCUGCAGGGCAUCACGCUGCUGGAGCAGGCUGGCAGAGACAACCUCAUCAACUUUGCCAACUCUGGAAUUGGACAGAUUGACUUUCAGGUUUAUCUCACUGAGGUAAAUAAAGGAGUCACUCUAAUAGAUCUGCUGUCCUUCUGUAGCGACCUGGAGGGUCAGGCUGACCAGCUGCCACGUGGUGCUCUGGAGAACGCACUGAGAGGCCAUGCCAGCAGCAUUAGAUUCAUUCACCGAGAACAGGUGGUGCCACUGGAGCAAGCAAUGAAAUAUGUCAGAGCACGGAGUACGCUGCACCAGAGUGUCAAACAGCUACAGAAGACAUCCAACGACCUGCCAGUCAAAGUAACAAAUGUCCUGAGUGCCAUUGAUGCAGCAGAGUACCUCAUCGCUCAUAAUGCCUCCCACGUGGUGAAGCAGGAAACAAAGGCGUAUGUGCAGGGCUUGGUGGGAUACUUCAAACAGUACACAGAAUGGGUUAAAAACUCUCUAACUACAGAGGUGGCCCAGUGUAAACCCAUCAGCAACAUUGUGGACAGUAUGGAAAUAGUAGGAUGCAGCUUCAUAAUCGACUCACUGAACACAUUCUGGUUUGGUCUCGGCAGCUGCUGCAUCCUGCUCAUCCCCAGCAUCAUCUUCUCUGUCAAACUGGCCAAGUAUUACAGAAGGAUGGACACAGAGGACGUCUUUGAAGACUCCUCUUACCCAUGGCUUGUUGCACUUUAACAUCGAUAAUUCAUGCACUUUCUCAUCUUCUCCCACACACUUACUCGCUUUUUGGAACGGGACUGUCCAGCUUCGAAUCUCUUGAGCUUUUUCACUCUUUCUUCUGAAAUCACGAGCUCGGCAUUUUAGCUCUUAACAUGGACUUUCCCAUCACUGCUCGCGCUCUCUUUCUUUCCGAUGCGAGCGUCGCUCUCUGUGGAUCACUCCAUCCCUGUCACUUUCACAGGAGUCUUCCCCUUUUUCAUCUGCCCCUCCCCUCGUUCUUCUCUUGCAGUAUGGCUAAUACAGGAAAUCACGGUGAACAGGUGUGUGAUAUCCAUGGAAACCUUGCCAUCAGCUCUCCCUAUUCUGACACUCUGACUCGGUUCCCUCGGGCCUCUGCUCCCCCGAGCUACUCAGUCUGGUGACCCACUGGAACUCUCUCCCUGCUGAUGAGGUAUUGACGAUCACUGAUGACUCCACUAACCCUUACAGCUACGCUAACAACCAGCCAUUGGACAGGAGAACUGGAACUGAUCUUCCCUUUGUGGAUCACUGGGCUGUUUAGGCUUCCGAUUCAGAUCUUUUAACACUUCCAAGGACAAAAGGGAAGAACAAUCGUGAACUCUGGGAUGAAGGCGUCUUUCAGUAGUCCUUCAGGCCAUUUGACAAAACCACUAAUGCCAGCAAAAUCCUAUGAAGUGUUUUCUCGACCCCUUUACCAUUUUAUUAUGUACACCAACAGCUGCAUAUUUAGCUGCAUAGAGAAUCAAUUUGUACUUACAUAAUCAGUUUUAAACAAGGCAACACAAGUGUACAGUUUUUACACUUUCAAGUCUUUUGAAAGUUUUAUAUAUUUUUUGUUAAACUUUGUUUUAUAACAUGUAAGUAGGUUUGUAGUAAUAGCUUUCUUUUUCUCUGUGAAUAUUUGUAAUAUAGCUUACAUAAUUUGCAUCAAACAGGUUUCACUUAGCAGGUGUUUAUUUAAGGAAUGGUUUGACAAUUUGAAAAAAAAAAAAGUAGCUACUCGCUUUCUUUCAGAACUGACACAGAUCACAUCUCUCAUGGGAAUCUACCAAACAGCUGUGCAGCUAUGUUUUUGACCAAAGAGACCAAAGGUAUUGAAUUAUUCAUUUAAGCAGCAAAGCGGCAGCUCUGCUCGGCUCAGUACAUCCUUGAAACAUGAAGACUGCGCAGUUUACUACAAAGUGUUACAAGCUAUUAAAUACACACAUGUGCUUAUUCUAUUGAAUCAGCUUUUAUUUAACUAAAUUUAAUUAAGUUCCUGUUUAUGUUGUUGUUUGUUCAUAAAAACUGUAUGUAGGCUGUCAACUUGUUUGAUCAGCUUCAAAAGUUUGGUAAGCGCUGUUUUAACAGGAUUUAAGGAGCGAUGACACACAAAAUAUCAUGUUUCACCAGACUGUUAAUGAGGGCCUGUUGCUUGUGUUGUCAAAUAAAAUUCCCAGAAGCCUCUGCAAUAUUAAAGGUCUGAAAAACACAACUGGGCUUGUGGUGAGGAUGCAAAUCUCUAAAUAAAAACUCAAAUCCAG